GAUGAACGCUGGCGGCGUGCCUAAUACAUGCAAGUCGAGCGAACGGACGAGAAGCUUGCUUUUCUGAUGUUAGCGGCGGACGGGUGAGUAACACGUGGAUAACCUACCUAUAAGACUGGGAUAACUUCGGGAAACCGGAGCUAAUACCGGAUAAUAUUUUGAACCGCAUGGUUCAAAAGUGAAGGACGGUCUUGCUGUCACUUAUAGAUGGAUCCGGGCUGCAUGAGCUAGUUGGUAAGGUAACGGCUUACCAAGGCAACGAUGCAUAGCCGACCUGAGAGGGUGAUCGGCCACACUGGAACUGAGACACGGUCCAGAGUCCUACGGGAGGCAGCAGUAGGGAAUCUUCCGCAAUGGGCGAAAGCCUGACGGAGCAACGCCGCGUGAGUGAUGAAGGUCUUCGGAUCGUAAAACUCUGUUAUUAGGGAAGAACAUAUGUGUAAGUAACUGUGCACAGCUUGACGGUACCUAAUCAGAAAGCCACGGCUAACUACGUG
rnacentral:rRNA from 1 species